AGAGUUUGAUCCUGGCUCAGAUUGAACGCUGGCGGUAUGCUUAACACAUGCAAGUCGAACGGUAACAGCAGGAGCUUGCUUCUGGCUGACGAGUGGCGGACGGGUGAGUAACGCGUGGGAAUCUGCCUUUUAGUUGGGGACAACCUGGUGAAAACCAGGCUAAUACCGAAUGUGGUCUACGGACUAAAGCAGGGGAUCUUCGGACCUUGCGCUAAAAGAUGAGCCCGCGUUAGAUUAGCUUGUUGGUAGGGUAAAGGCCUACCAAGGCGACGAUCUAUAGCUGGUCUGAGAGGACGAUCAGCCACACUGGGACUGAGACACGGCCCAGACUCCUACGGGAGGCAGCAGUGGGGAAUAUUGGACAAUGGGCGCAAGCCUGAUCCAGCAAUNACCGCGUGUGUGAAGAAGGCCUGAGGGUUGUAAAGCACUUUCAAUAGAGACGAAAAGCUUAGGGUUAAUAACCCUGGGUCUUGACUUAACCUAUAGAAGAAGCACCGCUAACU
rnacentral:rRNA from 1 species